AGAGUUUGAUUCUGGCUCAGGACGAACGUUGGCGGUGUGUCUAAGGCAUGCAAGUCGAACGAGAUUGUUUUCUUCGGAAAACAUUAUAUCUAGUGGCAGACGGCUGAGUAACGCGUAAGUAACUUACCCUAGAGUGGGGAAUAACACAGAGAAAUCUGUGCUAAUACCGCAUACGAUUUAUAGAUAAUUUUUAUAAAUGAAAGAUUUAUCGCUCUUGGAUGGGCUUGCGUCCUAUCAGGUUGUUGGCGGGGUAAUAGCCCACCAAGCCUAAGACGGGUAGCUGGUGUGAGAGCACGACCAGCCAGAGGGGGACUGAGACACGGCCCCCACUCCUACGGGAGGCAGCAGCUAAGAAUAUUGCACAAUGGACGAAAGUCUGAUGCAGCGACACCGCGUGAGGGAUGAAGGUUUUAGGAUCGUAAACCUCUUUUAUUAGGGAAUAGUAAGGAAGGUACCUAAUGAAUAAGGUACGGCUAACUACGUGCCAGCAGCCGCGGUAAUACGUAGGUACCGAACGUUGUCCGGAAUCACUGGGCGUAAAGGGUCCGUAGGCGGUUUGAUAAGUCUCAUAUGAAAACUUCAAGCUUAACUUGGAGAGGUUGUGAGAUACUGUCAAACUAGAGACUGUUAGAGGUAAGUGGAAUUCCAGGAGUAGUGGUGAAAUGCGUAGAUAUCUGGAGGAACACCAGUGGCGAAAGCGACUUACUGGGACAGUUCUGACGCUAAGGGACGAAAGCGUGGGGAGCGAACCGGAUUAGAUACCCGGGUAGUCCACGCCGUAAACGAUGAUUGCUAGGUUUUCGGGGCAUCGACCCCUCGUGAGCCGAAGUUAACGCGUUAAGCAAUCCGCCUGAGUAGUACGGCCGCAAGGCUAAAACUCAAAGAAAUUGACGGGGGCCCGCACAAGCAGCGGAGCGUGUGGUUUAAUUCGAUGCUAAGCGAAGAACCUUACCAAGGCUUGAAAUAUAUCUGACAGCUAGUGAAAGCUAGUCUCCUUCGGGCAGAUAU
rnacentral:rRNA from 1 species